AAUGUUUACUAUGCAACAAGCAUAGACAAGACGACGUCUUCCAGGAACGAAGAUGGAAUUUCCGUCAGUUGUUUUGACAGGUGUUCUGAGCCUACCGUACUUCAGGUGCCGGUCCCUCUCAGUUAUUUACGGUUUUCCAGGUUCAGACAGGAUGCAGCACUUUUUAUGGACAGCUUGGAACUUCAUUAAACUGUAUAUCCUUGGUGCUUGGUACAUGGCAAAAGAAUUGCUAGUACCUCACAAGAAACCCACAGGUAUUGGUCCACAGAAUGGGCGUGUAGCCAUUGUCACUGGUGGAGGUAGAGGGAUUGGGCUCCAGACUGUAAAGCAAUUUCUUCUUCAAGAUAUGACUGUGAUAAUAGCUGGUAGGGAUGUAACAUCCUUACAAAAGGCAGUUGACAGGAUUCGUUCCGAGGGAAUCACAAGUGGGAGAACGGAGUGCUUAGAACUGGACCUGAUGAGUCUAAAUUCUGUCCGUGAACUUGUCAGAGAAUUCUUGAAAUUAAACCUCCCAUUGCACGUCCUUGUCAACAAUGCUGGGAUCAUGUUCUGGCCAGAGGAGAUCACAGAAGAUGGAUUUGAGUCCCAUUGGAGUGUCAAUUACCUUGGACAUUUUCUCCUCACUCAUCUUUUAUAUCCCCACUUAAGGAAAAGUUCCUCAAAGGAAAUGCCGUCCAGGAUAGUCAACCUGACGUCUUCGGUCCACUAUAUUGGACAGAUAAAUUUUGCUGACAUCAAUGGCAGAAAAUACUACAAUGCACAAGCUGCCUAUGCCCAAAGCAAGUUAGCUCAGUUAAUGUUCACAAGAAUCCUGGACAAGCACAUUAAAGCAAUGGAUGGGAACAUUUUAGUAAAUGCAGUCCACCCAGGUGUUGUAGCCACUGAGCUUUUUCAGAAAGUAGCCUGGGCUCGACUUUUCCCUGGUUUGGCGAGGAAAUUUUUAAAGAAGCCCGAGCAAGGCUCAGACACUGUGGUAUAUGUGGCCUUAUCUUCUGAAAUUACAAACGGUGGCAACUAUUAUGAGAAUUGCUCUAUAACAUGGCCUUCCAGUUUUUCUUCCAAUCCAAAACAUCUUCGAAGCCUAUGGGACAUCUCUUGUUCACAAGUGAAUGUGAAGGAGUUUGGAGUCCUCUAGUACACUACACUAGUACCAUGAAAUUUGUUGACCAUUAGAGCUGAAAUCAUAGUCAGUUCAUGAGAUUGUACUUUUAUACAUAACUGGGAAGAUAUGUCAAUUUAGCGUCUCCUUAUCUCACCAGAUUAUUCAUGAGAGUAGUUACUGUGGGUCGAUGUGGAGGAGGAGGCUGAAACUGGUCGGAUAAACGUGAUGAUGUACUUCGGCGAUCGAGCGAAGAAUCGCUGAAAGCUAACGACUGCAUAGAUCCUCGUGGACCCUAAAAUAAAACAAUACAGUAUAAAUAUCCCGACAACAAGAAUACUGAGUGUAGUGGCCUUUUCAACAUGAAAGGAUAUUGACCAGUUUUGUGCCUCUGAUAGAGCACUACAGCUACAACAAGGCCACACACUAGCAUAGCAGAGAUGACUGUGAAAAUUACAGUAGCUGCCAGGUAUGGUGGUUCAAGAGCCACUGCUUCACUUACAACUUCUCUCGUACCAGAACGAACUUCAAGAGGUGUUUCCCAUCUUGGCUCUGAUACUUGGUGAUGGAACCAAGAAGCACGUAGAUCAGCUGGCAAACGCGCAUCAUCAAGUUCUAGAGCAAGUUGACCAUUCUUGACCUGUAGUAGAAACAACAGUUAAUAAAGAUAAAACAACUUUCUCA